rnacentral:rRNA from 1 species
CGAUGUCGACAGCCGUUGGGUGCCUAGCGCACUUUGUGGCGAAGUUAACGCGAUAAGUCGACCGCCUGGGGAGUACGGCCGCAAGGUUAAAACUCAAAUGAAUUGACGGGGGCCCGCACAAGCGGUGGAGCAUGUGGUUUAAUUCGAUGCAACGCGAAGAACCUUACCUACUCUUGACAUCCUGCGAAUUCGGUAGAGAUACCUUAGUGCCUUCGGGAACGCAGAGACAGGUGCUGCAUGGCUGUCGUCAGCUCGUGUUGUGAAAUGUUGGGUUAAGUCCCGUAACGAGCGCAACCCUUGUCCUUAUUUGCCAGCGCGUAAUGGCGGGAACUCUAAGGAGACUGCCGGUGACAAACCGGAGGAAGGUGGGGACGACGUCAAGUCAUCAUGGCCCUUACGAGUAGGGCUACACACGUGCUACAAUGGUCGGUACAAAGGGUUGCGAGCUCGCGAGAGUCAGCCAAUCCCGAAAAGCCGAUCUCAGUCCGGAUCGGAGUCUGCAACUCGACUCCGUGAAGUCGGAAUCGCUAGUAAUCGUAGAUCAGAAUGCUACGGUGAAUACGUUCCCGGGCCUUGUACACACCGCCCGUCACACCAUGGGAGUGGACUGCACCAGAAGUGGUUAGCCUAACGCAAGAGGGCGAUCACCACGGUGUGGUUCAUGACUGGGGUGAAGUCUAAAAGG